rnacentral:rRNA from 1 species
CCUACGGGUGGCAGCAGUGGGGAAUAUUGCACAAUGGGGGAAACCCUGAUGCAGCGACGCCGCGUGAGUGAAGAAGUAAUUCGGUAUGUAAAGCUCUAUCAGCAGGGAAGAAAAUGACGGUACCUGAGUAAGAAGCCACGGCUAACUACGUGCCAGCAGCCGCGGUAAUACGGAGGGGGCAAGCGUUAUCCGGAUUUACUGGGUGUAAAGGGAGCGUAGACGGCAGUGCAAGUCUGGAGUGAAAGGCGGGGGCUCAACCCCCGGACUGCUCUGGAAACUGUACGGCUGGAGUGCAGGAGAGGUAAGUGGAAUUCCUGGUGUAGCGGUGAAAUGCGUAGAUAUUAGGAGGAACACCAGUGGCGAAGGCGGCUUACUGGACUUUAACUGACGUUGAGGCUCGAAAGCGUGGGGAGCAAACAGGAUUAGAUACCCUAGUAGUC